rnacentral:rRNA from 1 species
CCCUACGGGGCGCAGCAGGCGCGAAAACUUUACAAUGCGAGAAAUCGUGAUAAGGGAACCCCGAGUGCCCGUAAAUUCGGGCUGUUAAUCUGUGUAAAAAGCAGGUGGAGAAAGGGCCGGGCAAGACCGGUGCCAGCCGCCGCGGUAAUACCGGCGGCUCGAGUGGUGGCCACUAUUACUGGGCUUAAAGCGUCCGUAGCUGGAUUGUUAAGUCUCUUGGGAAAUCUACCGGCUUAACCGAUAGGCGUUCAAGGGAUACUGGCAAUCUAGGGACCGGGAGAGGUGAGAGGUACUCCAGGGGUAGGAGUGAAAUCCUGUAAUC